CCCUUAGAUGUUCUGGGCCGCACGCGCGCUACACUGAUUCAUGCAACAAGUUUUGUCCUUGGCUGAUAGGCCUGGGUAAUCUUUGAACGUGAAUCGUGAUGGGGAUAGAUGAUUGCAAUUAUUCAUCUUCAACGAGGAAUUCCUAGUAAACGCAAGUCAUCAGCUUGCAUUGAUUACGUCCCUGCCCUUUGUACACACCGCCCGUCGCACCUACCGAUUGAAUUGUCCGGUGAAAUCUUCGGAUCUGAGAGAUGUCUGAUUAAUUUCGGACGCCUUUUGGAAAAGUUGUUUAAACCUUACCAUUUAGAGGAAGGUGAAGUCGUAACA
rnacentral:rRNA from 1 species